GCAGAGGGACGGAAGUUCGCAGCGAAGACCUGUCCUUCUUCCAAGUUUAGAAGCUGGACAUUUUGAAGUUGGACAAUUAUCUGAAGUUCAUGACAGAAGAGAGCUCCCAGAUGUCACUAAAGGCCAUGCUUGUCUCUGUCCUUGUCCACUGGUCUGCGUUUGCUGGUUUCACUAAAAAUAACCCACUGUCAUCCCUCCUGUACUGCCCCGUUACCAAAAUCUACAACAGCUGCACAGCCCCUCCAGUGCGGGAACGAUAAGGUUGAUGCUGACUGCCCAGCGGUUGCUUCCUUCUCCGAGAGUCUGACCAUCUCCACAGCAAGACAGUCCUGGAGAGGAACAGAAGGUACAACUCAAGAAGCCAGUCUUGCCUCGUUUGACGGUGUAGUUGAAUUCUGUGUGUGUGUAAGCAUCAUGUAUUGAAGGAAGAAAAUGCAUGCAUAAAUACUUCACCAAUAUCACUUGAUGAAGGCAUAGGAAUGUGAUUGGUGGAAGACU